CCUACGGGAGGCAGCAGUGAGGAAUAUUGGUCAAUGGUCGCAAGCCUGAACCAGCCAAGUAGCGUGCAGGAUGACUGCCCUACGGGUUGUAAACUUCUUUUAUGCGGGAAUAAAGUGAGUCACGUGUGCCUUUUUGUAUGUACUUUAUGAAUAAGGAUCGGCUAACUCCGUGCCAGCAGCCGCGGUAAUACGGAGGAUCCGAGCGUUAUCCGGAUUUAUUGGGUUUAAAGGGAGCGUAGAUGGGUUGUUAAGUCAGUUGUGAAAGGCUGCGGCUCAACCGUAAAAUUGCAAUUGAUACUGGCAGGCUUGAGUACAGUUGAGGUAGGCGGAAUUCGUGGUGUAGCGGUGAAAUGCUUAGAUAUCACGAAGAACUCCGAUUGCGAAGGCAGCUUACUAAACUGCUACUGACACUGAUGCUCGAAAGUGUGGGUAUCAAACAGGAUUAGAUACCCUAGUAGUC
rnacentral:rRNA from 1 species